UUGUGUUCUCUUCUCGAUGUUUGUAUUCCAGAAUGGAUGUCUCUUGGUUGUAUUUUAAACUUUCAAGUUGUUUUAAGUUAAUUUUAAUGUAGUUUAUUUGUUUUAAAUUUAGUUUUGCUACAUUAAAUUUGUAUGCAAUCGUAAGGGAUUGUGGGUAUUUUAGUUCUGAGGGAUGAGAGCCCAAGGAAUCAAUCUUCCUGUUACAGCAAAGGAUUGUGGGUAAAACCGUGAGUGAGUGAGGUACUUCCUUUCUGCCAUGAGAGCCUUGGGAAUCAAUCUCCCUGUUGCAGCAAAGGAUUGUGGGUAAAACCGUGAGUGAGGGAGGUACAUUUUUCCUGGCAUGAGAACCUCAGGAGUCAGUCCUUCCUAAGAAAAAAGAGGGGAGGGGGGAAGACAAACAAAAGCACAGGAACCCUAAAAUGAAAUAAAAUAAAAUAAAAUAAAAUAAUAUAAAACAAUGAAAAAAUAAAAAAUAAAAGAAGAACAAAAGUGGAUUGCAAAAGGGAAAGGAGAAUAAAAAAGGAAAAAAAGAAGUGUCAAGAGCAAAUAGCAAAAAACAGAAGUGAGCUUAAAAACAGAGAACAGUUCCCUAAAAGACAGACAGAAAUGUAAAUUUGAUCAAUGUCCUAAGGGAAAAUCUGCACAUGUAUGUGUGUCCUUUUUUACUAGCUUAGUCUGGUGUCACUGAUGGUCAGUUAUCAAUAAGUAUUUAUUAUUUAAAUUUUUGAUGAAGUUGUUUGUAGUGGGGUUAGCUGGCUAAUUUUAGAGUGUUAAAAAAGAUGUUAGAGGGGGAGGAUUUAGGUGGCACGGCGGUUCCCCUUCAGGUCUCUCUUAAUCCUCAAUAUAGGUGACCCAACAGGGGUUACCCCCCGGCCGGGGUAGGCCGAGGCUGAAGAUCACCUAUUUGUCCUCUGUGAAGGUGAAAAUAAAGGGGCAGGGGAGGGAAUAAGAAAGAGGGGGGGUGUUAGAGAGAGGGGGAGAGAUGAGGGAGAGAGAUGAGGGAGAGAGAGAGAGAGGGGGGGGGGGGAGAGAGAGAGAGAGAGAGAGAGAGAGAGAGAGGGAAGAGGGAGAGGGGGGUUUAAGGGAGAGGUGGAGAUGGUGGAAAAUAAAGAUUGGUGAGGGGGAUUUGGUGGCGGAUGAAACAUCCCAUAGCUCCCCAGCUCUCACCAUCCAUGUGAGGAGAGUGAGCAAGGGACAUAGUCACCUGACCCGACUAGGUCUAGGCUCUGCUCUCCUCACGGUCCUCACAAGAUACAAAGAGAUAUGUAAACGUGGAAGUGAGAGUUCUCUAGGCAGAGUUUUGGGUUUGGUUUGAGCUGAGUUGGUCAGUUGAUUAUUGAUUACUAUUUUAAGUUCUAAAAGUGGAUAGAGUCAAAAAGUCACAGAGGAUUGUGGUGGGAGCAGGUGGUCCAUCUGGCACCAUUCUGCUCAUGCAGGGAUUCGAGUGAUAGUUUUCGGGCUUCCUGAAGGUAAUACCCGGUAUUAGGUUUUGGGGCUAGGGUAACUUUAAAGGUUUUUGGCGAUAGGGUUAAAAUCACUGUCCAAAACCUUUGUAGGAACUCUUUUCCAACCUUUUGGAGUUAGUUAGACAAAAAAAAAAAGAUAAAUGAAAAAAAAAUAUUUGGGGUGUUAGGGCUUCCUGAAGGUAAUAGAAAAAAAGAAAAAUAAAAAAAAAUUAUUUGGGGUGUUCGGGCUUCCUGAAGGUAAUACCCGGGUAUUAGGUUUUGGGGCUAGGGUAACUUUAAAGGUUUUUGGCGAUAGGGUUAAAAUCACUGUCCAAAACCUUUGUAGGAACUCUUUUCCAACCUUUUGGAGUUAGUUAGACAAAAAAAAAAAGAUAAAUGAAAAAAAAAUAUUUGGGGUGUUAGGGCUUCCUGAAGGUAAUACCCGGGUAUUAGGUUAUGGGGCUAGGGUAAGGUUUAAGGUUUUUGGCGUAAGGGUUAAAAUCACUGUCCAAAACCUUUGUAGGAACUCUUUUCCAACCUUUUGGAGUUAGUUAGACCAAUAAAAAAAUGAAAAAUGAAAAAAAAAUAUUUGGGGUGUUCGGGCUUCCUGAAGGUAAUACCCGGGUAUUAGGUUUUGGGGCUAGGAUUAGGUUUAAGGUUUUUGGCGUUAGGGUUAAAAUCACUAUCCAAUAUUUUUUAAGGAACAUGUUUCAGACCUUUUGGAGUUAGUUAGACCAAAAAAAAAGAAAAAAGAAAAAAAAAUUUUUUGGGUUUUCGGGCUUCCUGAAGGUAUUAGGUUUUGGGGCUAGGGAAAGGUUUAAGGUUUUUGGCGUUAGGGUUAAAAUCACUGUCCAAAACGUUUUAAGGAACAAGAUUCAGACCUUUUGGAGUUGGUUACACCAAAAAAAAAUGUAAAAUGAAAAAAAAAAAUAUUUGGGGUGUUCGGGCUUCCUGAAGGUAAUACCCGGGUAUUAGGUUAUGGGGCUAGGGUAAGGUUAAAGGUUUUUGGCGUAAGGGUUAAAAUCACUGUCCAAAACCUUUUUAGGAACAUGUUUCAGACCUUUUGGAGUUGGUUACACCAAAAAAAAUUUAAAAUGAAAAAAAAAUUUUUUGGGGUGUUCGGGCUUCCUGAAGGUAAUACUCGGUUUCUGGGCUAGGGUAAUGUUUAGGGUUUUUGGCGUUAGGGUUAAAAUCAAUGUCCAAAACCUUUGUAGGAACUCUUUUCCAACCUUUGAGAGCAAGUUAGACCAAAAAAAAAAGAAAAAAAAUAUAUAUAUAUUUGGGGUGUUCGGGCUUCCUGAAGGUAAUACCCGGGUAUUAGGUUUUGGGGCUAGGGUUAGGUUUAAGGUUUUUGGCGUUAGGGUUAAAAUAACUGUCCAAAAUUUUUUAAGGAACAUGUUUCAGACCUUUGGGAGUUAGUUAGACAAAAAAAAAGAAAAAGAAAAAAAAAUAUUUGGGGUGUUCGGGUUUCCUGAAGGUAAUAACCGGGUAUUAGGUUAUGGGGCUUUGGAAAGGUUUAAGGUUUUUGGCGUGAGGGUUAAAAUCACUGUCCAAAACCUUUGUAGGAAGUCUUUUCCAACCUUUUGGAGUUAGUUAGACCAAUAAAAAAAUGAAAAAUGAAAAAAAAAAAUUUGGGGUGUUCGGGCUUCCUGAAGGUAAUACCCCGGUAUUAGGUUUUGGGGCUAGGAUUAGGUUUAAGGUUUUUGGCGUUAGGGUUAAAAUCACUGUCCAAUAUUUUUUAAGGAACAUGUUUCAGACCUUUUGGAGUUAGUUAGACCAAAAAAAAAAAAAAAAGAAAAAAAAUUAUUUGGGCUUUUCGGGCUUCCUGAAGGUAUUAGGUUUUGGGGCUAGGGAAAGGUUUAAGGUUUUUGGCGUUAGGGUUAAAAUCACUGUCCAAAACCUUUUAAGGAACAAGAUUCAGACCUUUUGGAGUUGG